rnacentral:rRNA from 1 species
CCUACGGGAGGCAGCAGUGGGGAAUAUUGCGCAAUGGGCGAAAGCCUGACGCAGCGACGCCGCGUGAGGGAUGAAGGUCUUCGGAUCGUAAACCUCUGUCAGCAGGGAAGAACGGUCACUGUGCUAAUCAGCAGUGAAUUGACGGUACCUGCAAAGGAAGCACCGGCUAACUCCGUGCCAGCAGCCGCGGUAAUACGGAGGGUGCGAGCGUUAAUCGGAAUUACUGGGCGUAAAGCGCUCGUAGGCGGUAUGUCAAGUCAAGGGUGAAAUCCCCGCGCUCAACGUGGGAACUGCCUUUGAAACGGGCAAACUGGAGUGUGUGAGAGGAUAGUGGAAUUCCAGGUGUAGGAAUGAAAGCCGUAGAUAUCUGGAGGAACAUCAGUGGCGAAGGCGACUAUCUGGCACAUAACUGACGCUGAGGAGCGAAAGCGUGGGUAGCAAACAGGAUUAGAUACCCUUGUAGUC